GCCUCCCGCCCCGAAUCCGUGACGGGUUAAAAAAUACAUCCCAUAAUCCGCCCCGCAACACGCCACCCGCCAGCACCCCGAAUCCGCCCCGCCAACUAAUAUUUUUUAUAAAAUUAUAAUAUUAUUAAUAUUUUGUAAAUAUAAAUUAAUAAUUUUUAAUAAUAUUAUAUAUAUAAUUUAACAAUAUUAAUUAUAAAAAUAAAAAAUAUCAAUCACAAUUCAAAAUAAAAAUUAAAAGUUUCAAAUGCAUUAGAAAUGAGAGUACUAAUUUAUUUGUAUUUUGAACUUUUUUGUAAAUACAUUAUUUUUUAGGAAUAUUUUUUAAAAAUAUAAAUAAUUUUCGGGGGCAGAUUCGGGGCGGAUCGUAGCAGGGCGGAUUCGGGGCGGAUUCGGGGCUGGUCAAAAUUUCUCCCGUUUCCUGCCCCGAAUCCGUCUCGAAUCGUAAAUUUUACCCCGUUUCCCGCCCCGAAUCCGUUUAUUUUUUCCCAUUUACUACCCUCGUCGGGGCGGAUCGGGGCGGGAGCUCCACCAAACCCAGAUCCGUUUAAAUCCCUACACAUGCCUUAUAGUUUAAAUCAUAACAUAUUAAAAUUUUAAUCCAAAAAAAUGGAAGAGAGAGGCAGAAAAAAAUUGAUGAGAGAGAGAAAAAAUUUGAAGAGAGAGGGGAAAAAAAAAAAAAGAAGAGUGAGAGAAACAAAAUUAAAGAGAGAGGGAUUAAAAAAAAUUUGAAGAGAUAGAAAACAAAUUUUAAAAAUUAUUUGAAGAGAGAGGAAUAAAAAAAAUGAAGAGAGAAAAAAAAUAAAAAUAUUUGAAAAUAUUGAGGACUAAAAUAAUAUAUUUCAUAUUGCAAGUCAGAAAUUAUAACUAAUUAAAGUUUGAGGAUGAAAGUGUCACAUGCCUUAUAGUUUAAAUCAUAACAUAUUAAAAUUUGAGGAUUAAAAUGUUACUCGUCUUAUAGUUUGAAGGACGAAAAGUGUAAAUCCAAUCUUUCAAAAUUUUAUUUUGAUUAUUCAAUUUUUCGAUAUAUUAGAUUUGAGUCAAUCAAUGAUAUUUUAAUAUACAAUCUAUAAGUAAAUGCUUAAUAGUAUAAAAUUAAAAUUUAUAUUUAAU
rnacentral:lncRNA from 1 species